UACGUAGGGUGCAGGCGUUAAUCGGAAUUACUGGGCGUAAAGCGUGCGCAGGCGGUUUCUUAAGUCAGAUGUGAAAGCCCCGGGCUUAACCUGGGAACUGCGUUUGAAACUGGGAGACUUGAGUGUGGCAGAGGGGGGUGGAAUUCCACGUGUAGCAGUGAAAUGCGUAGAUAUGUGGAGGAACACCAAUGGCGAAGGCAGCCCCCUGGGCUAGCACUGACGCUCAGGCACGAAAGCGUGGGGAGCAAACAGG
rnacentral:rRNA from 1 species